rnacentral:rRNA from 1 species
GGGGAAUAUUGCACAAUGGGCACAAGCCUGAUGCAGCAACGCCGCGUGAGGGACGACGGCCUUCGGGUUGUAAACCUCUUUUGGCAGGGAAGAAGCGAAGGUGACGGUACCUGCAGAAAAAGCACCGGCUAACUACGUGCCAGCAGCCGCGGUGAUACGUAGGGUGCAAGCGUUGUCCGGAAUUAUUGGGCGUAAAGAGCUCGUAGGCGGUUUGUCGCGUCUGCUGUGAAAACCCGAGGCUCAACCUCGGGCCUGCAGUGGGUACGGGCAAACUAGAGUGCGGUAGGGGAGAUUGGAAUUCCUGGUGUAGCGGUGGAAUGCGCAGAUAUCAGGAGGAACACCGAUGGCGAAGGCAGAUCUCUGGGCCGUAACUGACGCUGAGGAGCGAAGGCAUGGGGAGCGAACA